UACGAGGGGGGCUAGCGUUGCUCGGAAUCACUGGGCGUAAAGCGCACGUAGGCGGAUUGUUAAGUCAGGGGUGAAAUCCUGGAGCUCAACUCCAGAACUGCCUUUGAUACUGGCGAUCUUGAGUCCGGGAGAGGUGAGUGGAACUGCGAGUGUAGAGGUGAAAUUCGUAGAUAUUCGCAAGAACACCAGUGGCGAGGGCGGCUCACUGGCCCGGUACUGACGCUGAGGUGCGAAAGCGUGGGGAGCAAACAGG
rnacentral:rRNA from 1 species